rnacentral:rRNA from 1 species
GAUUAACGCUGGCGGCGUGCAUGAGACAUGCAAGUCGAACGGACGAGCGGGCUUGCCUGCUCGUUAGUGGCGGACGGCUGAGUAACGCGUAGGUGACCUGCCCCGAAGUGGGGAAUAACUGCCCGAAAGGGUGGCUAAUACCGCAUGUGGAGCCUGGUUCGUUCCAGUCUCCAAAGCAGCAAUGCGCUUCGGGAGGGGCCUGCGUCCGAUUAGCUCGUUGGUGGGGUAACGGCUCACCAAGGCGACGAUCGGUAGGUGGUCUGAGAGGACGAUCACCCAGACUGGGACUGAGACACGGCCCAGACUCCUACGGGAGGCAGCAGUCGGGAAUUUUGCUCAAUGGGCGAAAGCCUGAAGCAGCAACGCCGCGUGAGGGAUGACGGCCUUCGGGUUGUAAACCUCUUUUCUCAGGGACGAUGAUGACGGUACCUGAGGAAUAAGCCACGGCUAACUACGUGCCAGCCGCCGCAGUAAAAC